rnacentral:rRNA from 1 species
GAUGAACGCUGGCGGCGUGCCUAAUACAUGCAAGUCGAACGAAGAUCUAGCUUGCUAGAUCUUAGUGGCGAACGGGUGAGUAAUACAUAAAUAAUCUGCCCAUAUGACUGGGAUAACUAUUGGAAACGAUAGCUAAUACCGGAUAGGUUGAUUGGAGGCAUCUCUGAUUAAUUAAAGUAGGAUUUCUACACAAAUGGAUGAGUUUAUGGCGCAUUAGUUAGUUGGUGGGGCAACGGCCUACCAAGACGAUGAUGCGUAGCCGACCUGAGAGGGUGACCGGCCACACUGGGACUGAGACACGGCCCAGACUCCUACGGGAGGCAGCAGUAGGGAAUUUUCGGCAAUGGGCGCAAGCCUGACCGAGCAACGCCGCGUGAGUGAUUAAGGCCUUCGGGUUGUAAAGCUCUGUUGUAAGGGAAGAACAUUCAGGAUAGGAAAUGAUCUUGAACUGACGGUACCUUACCAGAAAGCCACGGCUAACUACGUGCCAGCAGCCGCAGUAAAAC